AAGGGGUAAUCCGAAAACCCUGAAUAGAGUAGGAA
rfam:Aquimarina spongiae strain DSM 22623 genome assembly, contig: Ga0070582_112